UACGUAGGGCGCAAGCGUUGUCCGGAAUUAUUGGGCGUAAAGAGCUCGUAGGUGGCUGGUCGCGUCUGCCGUGAAAGCCCGCAGCUUAACUGCGGGUCUGCGGUGGAUACGGGCCGGCUAGAGGUAGGUAGGGGCAAGCGGAACUCCUGGUGUAGCGGUGAAAUGCGUAGAUAUCAAGAGGAACACCUGAGGUGAAGACGGGUUGCUAGGCUGACACUGACGCUGAGGCGCGAAAGCCAGGGGAGCGAACGGG
rnacentral:rRNA from 1 species